CAGAGCCCCGACAAGUGUGGGUUGCGGCUAAGCAGUUUCUCUUUUGUUCUAUUUUUAUCCGUAUUGUAGCUGCAGUGGGCUGCGGUAGAGAACACGGUAGGUUGUACUCGUUAUUCGGUUGAAGGUGGCUGCUGGAGCGGACGAGCAGUGGUGUCUCUUGCCAAGUUUGGCACAGUGACGUGUGUAGUGGAUGAACCUCUUAUGUUCUGUGAUCGUUGGCGGCGGAGCGAGCUGCGGUGGCCUUGUCAAUGGCUUCUCCCGAUUUAAUUUUCUUCUCCUCGGUGGUCUUGCAGAGCUCCGCAAUCCCUAGGCAGUGCAGCUAGAGCCAUUGCAGUCGUGGAGCUACUCGCAUUUGAGUAGCGAUGCUGGUUUAGUGUAUGACGUGGUAGUCUGGAUUUUUUCUCUUUGUGUUUUCUCGAUCCAUUGCCAAUUUUUGAUGGAAUCAAGUUCUAGAGCGGCAUUCGCUAUUGCUACUUCCUUGGGGCUCUUUCCUUCAAGUUAUUACCCCGCUCUGUUCCUGCCAUAGAAUAAUUGAGAGUUGGUCGAUCACAGCAUUGUUGUUUCUC